rnacentral:lncRNA from 1 species
CUUCUCUCCGACUGUACAGCUUCCAGGGAAACAAAAACGGAUGGAAAGGUGUUUUGGGUGUCCUCACCAGAGCAACAAGCUUCCAUUCUCGCUGCCAGGCCUCUGAGCGACGCAAUUAAACCCAGCUUUCAGGGUGAAUGGUAAACCCCGAAGCAGGCUCUGCCCCUGGAAGAGAGGAAGGAGCUCACGCACUGAAAAGUGUGUUGGUAGUUUCACUUUACUUCGUGGCCUUGUAGGGCCCCAAGACUCCGCUGGAGGCGGUGAGAUUACUUGAAUUCAUCAUGUGUUUCCUUACACCUGCUGUUGGUGUCAUCUUGGUACUACCCUUCAGUCAUUCCCUUCUUUGUGAAAAUAAAAAUAAUGAUUUCAAACAUUGGCAGUAUCUAGAAGCUCAGGAUCACGAUGUGGUGGAUGUUCCUGCGACGGGUGACCCAGAUGAAGGACACAGCGCUGGGACUGAAUCCUGUUCUGCUGGCUGGUGUGUGUGUGUGUAUAGGUAGAUGCUUAUCUGUAAAUGGAGGGGUGGGGCGUGUGCUUAACGAUCGCUACCUGGAAUUGUAAUUACAAAGUCAGAUCAACCCGUGAGAAGCCGGGGUUUUUUCCACUGCCCUUGGGUAUACCGAAGAGGAAUAUUUCUAUUCUGGGGCCAGUUGACUCCCCUCAGGAGAAAGAUUAGUUAGUAUUCACCACUCUUGAUGGCACAUAGUGACCCUGGAUAGUUGCUUGGUAAAUUUACUAAGUGAGCUUUCGGGAAAUUGGCUCCCGGCUAUUAACUUGGAGACAGAGCUUUUCUGCACUUAACUCCAGCUUAACCUGCAUCUUUUAGGUCUCGGGGCAUUAGAACUAGAGUUUGAAUAUCUGGAGUCUACCAUUUACCUUAUAAUCUUCUUCCUCUUUAUUUUUCAUGUCUCUUCAAUAUAUAUAAAGCAUUGCUACCUGGAUUAGUUAUCUAUUGCUGUGUAAACAAUUACCUCCAGAUUUAGCAUCUUAAAGUUUAUUAUCUCAUAAUUUCUAUGGGUCUGGAAUUUGGGAGCAGCUGAGAGGGGUGGCUCUGGCUUGGAGUCUCUCGAGAAGUUACCGUCAAGGUGUCAGCCAGGGCUGCAGUCAAGUAAAGACUUGAUGCCAAGCUGGGGAUGGAGGAUCCUCUUCCAAAAGGAGAGCUAUUGGCAAGAGGCGUCAAUCCUCGCAGGUUGUCGGCAGGAAGCUUCCAUUCAUUGCCGUGUGAAUGUCGCCAUAGACCUGCCUGAGCUUGCCCACAACUUGACAGCUGGUUUCUCCAAGAGCAACUGAUCUGAGAGGAAGGAAGCUGCAGUGCCUUUUAUGAGCUGGCCUGAGAAGUCACUCACUGCCAUUUUUGCCACAUUCUGUUUGUUAAAAGUGAGUCACUGAGUCCUACUCAUAUUGAAGGGGAGAACUAAACUCCACUUCUUGAAGGGAGGCACAUCGAAGGAUCGUGGAUGUAUUUUUAAAACCAACAUCCACCUAAACCGGGUGCACCAG